rnacentral:misc_RNA from 1 species
UGUGGUGGGAGUACUGGGUUCUCAU